rnacentral:rRNA from 1 species
UACAGAGGUCCCAAGCGUUGUUCGGAUUCACUGGGCGUAAAGGGUGCGUAGGCGGUCGGGUAAGUCUGAUGUGAAAUCUCACAGCUUAACUGUGAAACUGCAUUGGAUACUAUUCGGCUAGAGAGUUGGAGGGGGGACUGGAAUUCUUGGUGUAGCAGUGAAAUGCGUAGAUAUCAAGAGGAACACCAGUGGCGAAGGCGAGUCCCUGGACAACUUCUGACGCUGAGGCACGGAAGCUAGGGGAGCAAACAGG